UAGUAUGUUAGAGGGUCUUCU
rnacentral:siRNA from 1 species